GCCCGUGGCGCCGGGGCCGUGGAAGGUCCAGUCGCGGCUGACGGCGGGCGGCAGGCGCGCGGGCCGCAUCUUGCGGCGGUCGUGGAUGAAGAGGAGCAGGCGCAGGUAGACCAGCUCCAGCAUUCCACUGUUCCUGUGACUCCCAAGGAGCCUGAUAGGAGCAGAAGACAGAAGACCACUUGUUACUAGGCAACCAGCACCCACCUCACCCAUGUUGCCAUGGUGAUGAUGAAAGUUGGGCUGAUCAAAUUACCAGCUAAUUGCACAUGAGAGCUCAAGGAGCUGCGUGGUCACCUUCUCUUCCUCUCUCCUGCCAUCCAAGUCUUCUGACUGCCUGUUACUCGAAGCACAUUGGCCUGGACCGCAAGCUGCCGCGCUUUAGUCCUCCUCUGUCAUUUCCGAGAGUGGUGGCCUCAGGGGGAAGACAAGAGGAAUUUUCCCAAUUUGUUAUCUUCUAAGGAUGAUUCCAAGAGCAGUGUUUCAAACCGGAAGGGAAUGGAAGUUAUUCUCAUUGCUCUCUCCUUGCUUCUUACCUUAGUGACAUUACCUGACCGCUCAGUAAUCUAAAAGU